rnacentral:snoRNA from 1 species
UGCAAGGGCACUCUGUGUUAUCAUUUAAUAGUGUGAUAAAACAAUUUGUAACCUUGCCAAAGUAAAGCAGAAUUUGCUUCUCACUUCUUAACUGUAUAACUGGAAGAGAAGUGAUCAAGUUAUGUGACAAAUCUUAU